rnacentral:rRNA from 1 species
UGGGGAAUUUUGCGCAAUGGGCGAAAGCCUGACGAAGCAACGCCGCGUGAGUGAUGAAGGCUUUCGGGUCGUAAAGCUCUGUCAAGGGGAAAGAAGUGUAUUGUGGUUAAUACCCAUGAUGCUUGAAGGUACCCCUAAAGGAAGCACCGGCUAACUCCGUGCCAGCAGCCGCGGUAAUACGGGGGGUGCAAGCGUUGUUCGGAAUUAUUGGGCGUAGAGCGCGUGUCGGCGGUUUGUUAAGUCUGAUGUGAAAGCCCCGGGCUCAACCUGGGAAGUGCAUUGGAAACUGGCAGACUGAAAGACGGGGGAGGGUAGUGGAAUUCCUGGUGUAGGAGUGAAAUCCGUAGAUAUCAGGAGGAACACCGGUGGCGAAGGCGGCUGCCUGGACCGAUAUUGACGCUGAGACGCGAAAGCGUGGGUAGCAAACA